GGGUUGUGAGGUUAAGCGACUAAGCGUACACGGUGGAUGCCCUGGCAGUCAGAGGCGAUGAAGGACGUGCUAAUCUGCGAAAAGCGUCGGUAAGGUGAUAUGAACCGUUAUAGCCGGCGAUGUCCGAAUGGGGAAACCCAGUGCAAUUCGUUGCACUAUCGUUAACUGAAUACAUAGGUUAACGAGGCGAACCGGGGGAACUGAAACAUCUAAGUACCCCGAGGAAAAGAAAUCAACCGAGAUUCCCCCAGUAGCGGCGAGCGAACGGGGAGCAGCCCAGAGUCUGAAUCAGCUUGUGUGUUAGUGGAACGGUCUGGAAAGUCCGACGGUACAGGGUGAUAGUCCCGUACACCAAAAUGCACAGGCUGUGAACUCGAAGAGUAGGGCGGGACACGUGGUAUCCUGUCUGAAUAUGGGGGGACCAUCCUCCAAGGCUAAAUACUCCUGACUGACCGAUAGUGAACCAGUACCGUGAGGGAAAGGCGAAAAGAACCCCGGCGAGGGGAGUGAAAAAGAACCUGAAACCGUGUACGUACAAGCAGUGGGAGCACCUUCGGGUGUGACUGCGUACCUUUUGUAUAAUGGGUCAGCGACUUAUAUUCUGUAGCAAGGUUAACCGUAUAGGGGAGCCGCAGGGAAACCGAGUCUUAACUGGGCGUUAAGUUGCAGGGUAUAGACCCGAAACCCGGUGAUCUAGCCAUGGGCAGGUUGAAGGUUGGGUAACACUAACUGGAGGACCGAACCGACUAAUGUUGAAAAAUUAGCGGAUGACUUGUGGCUGGGGGUGAAAGGCCAAUCAAACCGGGAGAUAGCUGGUUCUCCCCGAAAGCUAUUUAGGUAGCGCCUCGUGAAUUCAUCUUCGGGGGUAGAGCACUGUUUCGGCUAGGGGGUCAUCCCGACUUACCAACCCGAUGCAAACUACGAAUACCGAAGAAUGUUAUCACGGGAGACACACGGCGGGUGCUAACGUCCGUCGUGAAGAGGGAAACAACCCAGACCGCCAGCUAAGGUCCCAAAGUCAUGGUUAAGUGGGAAACGAUGUGGGAAGGCACAGACAGCCAGGAUGUUGGCUUAGAAGCAGCCAUCAUUUAAAGAAAGCGUAAUAGCUCACUGGUCGAGUCGGCCUGCGCGGAAGAUGUAACGGGGCUAAACCAUGCACCGAAGCUGCGGCAGCGACACUAUGUGUUGUUGGGUAGGGGAGCGUUCUGUAAGCCUGCGAAGGUGACCUGUGAGGGUUGCUGGAGGUAUCAGAAGUGCGAAUGCUGACAUAAGUAACGAUAAAGCGGGUGAAAAGCCCGCUCGCCGGAAGACCAAGGGUUCCUGUCCAACGUUAAUCGGGGCAGGGUGAGUCGACCCCUAAGGCGAGGCCGAAAGGCGUAGUCGAUGGGAAACAGGUUAAUAUUCCUGUACUUGGUGUUACUGCGAAGGGGGGACGGAGAAGGCUAUGUUAGCCGGGCGACGGUUGUCCCGGUUUAAGCAUGUAGGCUGGUUGUCCAGGCAAAUCCGGAUAAUCAAGGCUGAGGUGUGAUGACGAGGCACUACGGUGCUGAAGUAACAAAUGCCCUGCUUCCAGGAAAAGCCUCUAAGCAUCAGGUAACAUUAAAUCGUACCCCAAACCGACACAGGUGGUCAGGUAGAGAAUACCAAGGCGCUUGAGAGAACUCGGGUGAAGGAACUAGGCAAAAUGGUGCCGUAACUUCGGGAGAAGGCACGCUGGUGUGUAGGUGAAGUCCCUGCGGAUGGAGCUGAGACCAGUCGAAGAUACCAGCUGGCUGCAACUGUUUAUUAAAAACACAGCACUGUGCAAACACGAAAGUGGACGUAUACGGUGUGACGCCUGCCCGGUGCCGGAAGGUUAAUUGAUGGGGUUAUCCGUAAGGAGAAGCUCUUGAUCGAAGCCCCGGUAAACGGCGGCCGUAACUAUAACGGUCCUAAGGUAGCGAAAUUCCUUGUCGGGUAAGUUCCGACCUGCACGAAUGGCGUAAUGAUGGCCAGGCUGUCUCCACCCGAGACUCAGUGAAAUUGAACUCGCUGUGAAGAUGCAGUGUACCCGCGGCAAGACGGAAAGACCCCGUGAACCUUUACUAUAGCUUGACACUGAACAUUGAGCCUUGAUGUGUAGGAUAGGUGGGAGGCUUUGAAGCGUGGACGCCAGUCUGCGUGGAGCCAACCUUGAAAUACCACCCUUUAAUGUUUGAUGUUCUAACGUUGGCCCCUUACCGGGGUUGCGGACAGUGUCUGGUGGGUAGUUUGACUGGGGCGGUCUCCUCCCAAAGCGUAACGGAGGAGCACGAAGGUUAGCUAAUCCUGGUCGGACAUCAGGAGGUUAGUGCAAUGGCAUAAGCUAGCUUGACUGCGAGCGUGACGGCGCGAGCAGGUGCGAAAGCAGGUCAUAGUGAUCCGGUGGUUCUGAAUGGAAGGGCCAUCGCUCAACGGAUAAAAGGUACUCCGGGGAUAACAGGCUGAUACCGCCCAAGAGUUCAUAUCGACGGCGGUGUUUGGCACCUCGAUGUCGGCUCAUCACAUCCUGGGGCUGAAGUAGGUCCCAAGGGUAUGGCUGUUCGCCAUUUAAAGUGGUACGCGAGCUGGGUUUAGAACGUCGUGAGACAGUUCGGUCCCUAUCUGCCGUGGGCGCUGGAGAAUUGAGGGGGGCUGCUCCUAGUACGAGAGGACCGGAGUGGACGCAUCACUGGUGUUCGGGUUGUCAUGCCAAUGGCACUGCCCGGUAGCUAAAUGCGGAAGAGAUAAGUGCUGAAAGCAUCUAAGCACGAAACUUGCCCCGAGAUGAGUUCUCCCUGAGACUUUAAGUCUCCUGAAGGAACGUUGAAGACGACGACGUUGAUAGGCCGGGUGUGUAAGCGCAGCGAUGCGUUGAGCUAACCGGUACUAAUGAACCGUGAGGCUUAACCUUACAACGCCGAAG
rnacentral:rRNA from 1 species